GUGCCACCGCCGCGGUAAUACGUAGGUGGCAAGCGUUGUCCGGAUUUAUUGGGCGUAAAGCGAGCGCAGGCGGAAAAAUAAGUCUAAUGUGAAAGCCCUCGGCUUAACCGAGGAACUGCAUCGGAAACUGUUUUUCUUGAGUGCAGAAGAGGAGAGUGGAACUCCAUGUGUAGCGGUGGAAUGCGUAGAUAUAUGGAAGAACACCAGUGGCGAAGGCGGCUCUCUGGUCUGCAACUGACGCUGAGGCUCGAAAGCAUGGGUAGCAAACAGG
rnacentral:rRNA from 1 species